rnacentral:rRNA from 1 species
UACGGAGGGAGCUAGCGUUAUUCGGAAUUACUGGGCGUAAAGCGCACGUAGGCGGCUUUGUAAGUAAGAGGUGAAAGCCUGGAGCUCAACUCCAGAAUUGCCUUUUAGACUGCAUCGCUUGAAUCAUGGAGAGGUGAGUGGAAUUCCGAGUGUAGAGGUGAAAUUCGUAGAUAUUCGGAAGAACACCAGUGGCGAAGGCGGCUCACUGGACAUGUAUUGACGCUGAGGUGCGAAAGCGUGGGGAGCAAACGGG